rnacentral:rRNA from 1 species
AACGGCGGCCGUAACUAUAACGGUCCUAAGGUAGCGAAAUUCCUUGUCAGGUAAGUUCUGACCCGCACGAAAGGUGUAACGAUUUGGGCGCUGUCUCGGCAGCAGACUCGGUGAAAUCUUAGUACCUGUGAAAAUGCAGGUUACCCGCAACUAGACGGAAAGACCCCAUGGAGCUUUACUGCAGCCUGAUAUUGAAUUCUGGUCAUACAUGUACAGGAUAGGUGGGAGACAAAGAGACGUGCACGCCAGUGUACGAGGAGUCGCCGUUGGGAUACCACUCUUGUGUGACCGGGGUUCUAACCUGGUAUCGAUAACAGGUACGGGGAGAGUGUCAGGUGGGCAGUUUGACUGGGGCGGUCGCCUCCCAAAGAGUAACGGAGGCGCCCAAAGGUACGCUCAGAUUGGAUGGAAACCAAUCGACGAGUGCAAUUGCAGAAGCGUGCUUGACUGUGAGACUUACAAGUCGAACAGGGACGAAAGUCGGGAAUAGUGAUCCGGCGGUGCCGAAUGGAAGGGCCGUCGCUCAACGGAUAAAAGCUACCCUGGGGAUAACAGGCUGAUCUCCCCCAAGAGUUCACAUCGACGGGGAGGUUUGGCACCUCGAUGUCGGCUCAUCGCAUCCUGGAGCUGAAGUCGGUUCCAAGGGUUGGGCUGUUCGCCCAUUAAAGCGGUACGCGAGCUGGGUUCAGAACGUCGUGAGACAGUUCGGUCCCUAUCUGUUGUGGGCGAAGGAGAUCUGCGGAGAGCUGUCCUCAGUACGAGAGGACCGGGAUGGACCUACCGCUGGUGCACCGGUUGUUCCGCCAGGGGCAUAGUCGGGUAGCUAAGUAGGGAAAGGAUAAGCGCUGAAAGCAUCUAAGCACGAAGCCUACUCCAAGAUGAGAUCUCCCAUUCGCAAGAAGUAAGACCCCUUAAAGACGAUAAGGUAGAUAGGCCAGGGAUGGAAGUGCAGUGAUGUACGGAGUUGACUGGUACUAAUCGGUCGAGGACUUAAUCA